rnacentral:lncRNA from 1 species
AUAACAAAAUUUUGUUCUUCAUGGAUGAAGUACAACUGGAAAAGUUCUAUGGCAUUUUGAUUGAUUUAAUCUCUAGGAGACGCUCCAGUUCAAGGACAGCAAGGAGUGACUACAGAUCAAAAAGAAAGCUAGAAGCAAGCAAGCAAGGAAGAAAUGAGGAGAAAAGGCA